GGUCCUAAGCUUACUGCUAUUUGUAAUCAAAAUUACACAUGCAAACAUCCGUACACCAGUGAAAAUGCCCAUUAAUAAACUACGGAGCAGGUAUCAGGCACGGCCAGCCAGCCCAAAACACCUUGCUUUGCCACACCCACACGGGUAAUCAGCAGUGAUUAACAUUAAGCCAUGAGCAAACAUCAACAAACUCGACUUAGUUAUGAUUAUUAGGGCCGGUAAAUCUCGUGCCAGCCGCCGCGGUUAUACGAGAGGUCCAAAAUAGCAGACAUCGGCGUAAAUCGUGACUAGAACCAUUCCCAAAACAUAAGAAAAAAACUAAGGCCUAGCCGUAAAACACAGGCCUAACGAACACAACAAAUUCUUAUACAAAGGAAGUUUGACCCACGAAAACUAAGAAACAAACUAGGAUUAGAUACCCUAUUAUGCUUAGUAGUAAAUAAGGCACCCACAUUACCAAGAUGCCCGCCAGAAAAUUACGAGCGAAAAGCUUAAAACUCAAAGGACUUGGCGGUGCUCCAUACCCGAUUUAGAGGAGCCUGUCCUGUAAUCGAUACCCCACGCUACACCUCACCACUCUUUGCCCCCAGCCUAUAUACCGCCGUCGCAAACUUACCCCAUGAGGGUAAAACAGUAAGUACAAUAGUCAUAUGACUAAAACGUCAGGUCAAGGUGUAGCUCAUAGAGUGGCAGACGAUGGGCUACAUUUUUUAUUACAAAACAAACGGCAAGAGGCCGUGAAAUCGGCUUCCAAAGGAGGAUUUAAUAGUAAAACAGACAAGAAAAUCUGUCUUAAACUCGCUCUGGAGCGCGCACACACCGCCC
rnacentral:ncRNA from 1 species